UACGGGGGGGGCAAGCGUUGUUCGGAAUUACUGGGCGUAAAGGGCUCGUAGGCGGCCAACUAAGUCGGAUGUGAAAUCCCCAGGCUCAACUUGGGAACUGCAUCCGAUACUGGAUGGCUUGAAUUCGGGAGAGGGAUGCAGAAUUCCAGGUGUAGCGGUGAAAUGCGUAGAUAUCUGGAGGAACACCGGUGGCGAAGGCGGCGUUCUGGACUGUUUCUGACACUGAAUAACGAAAGCCAGGGGAGCAAACGGG
rnacentral:rRNA from 1 species